UGGGCGAAAGCCUGACGGAGCAAUGCCGCGUGUAGGAUGAAGCGCCUCUGGUGUGUAAACUACUGUCAAUGUCUAGGAAUACUGACCAGACAUAAAGGAAGGGCCGGCUAAUUCAGUGCCAGCAGCCGCGGUAAUACUGAAGGCCCGAGCGUUAAUCGGAAUCACUGGGCUUAAAGCGUACGCAGGCGGACUUGUAGGUAUUUUGUGAAAUCCCACGGCUUAACCGUGGAACUGCAGAGUAAACCACAAGUCUUGAGGCAUGUAGGGGUCAGUGGAACCAUGAGUGGAGCGGUGAAAUGCGUAGAUAUUCAUGGGAACGCCAAUGGCGAAGGCAACUGACUGGGCAUGUCCUGACGCUCAGGUACGAAAGCGUGGGUAGCGAACGGGAUUAGAUACCCCGGUAGUCCACGCCGUAAACGAUGCACACUAGGUCGCGGUACCUCUCAUGGUUUCGCGGCCGAAGGUAAACUGAUUAGUGUGCCGCCUGGGGAGUACGGUCGCAAGGCUAAAACUCAAAGGAAUUGACGGGGGCUCACACAAGCGGUGGAGCAUGUUGCUUAAUUCGAGGCAACGCGAAGAACCUUACCUAGGCUUGACAUGUAUGGAUUAACCUUUCGAAAGAUAGGCCACGCCCUUGGGUGGAACAUACACAGGUGCUGCAUGGCUGUCGUCA
rnacentral:rRNA from 1 species